rnacentral:rRNA from 1 species
CAGCCGCCGCGGGAAUACGAAGGGGGCUAGCGUUGUUCGGAAUUACUGGGCGUAAAGCGCACGUAGGCGGAUUGUUAAGUUAGGGGUGAAAUCCCAGGGCUCAACCCUGGAACUGCCUUUAAUACUGGCAAUCUCGAGUCCGAGAGAGGUGAGUGGAAUUCCGAGUGUAGAGGUGAAAUUCGUAGAUAUUCGGAGGAACACCAGUGGCGAAGGCGGCUCACUGGCUCGGUACUGACGCUGAGGUGCGAAAGCGUGGGGAGCAAACAGGAUUAGAGACCCCGGUAGUCCCUGUCUCUUAUAC